UACGGAGGGUGCAAGCGUUGUCCGGAAUCACUGGGCGUAAAGCGCGCGUAGGCGGCCUCAUAAGUCCGUUGUGAAAGUCCAAGGCUCAACCUUUGAAAGCCGAUGGAUACUGUGAGGCUAGAGUCCGGAAGAGGCGAGUGGAAUUCCUGGUGUAGCGGUGGAAUGCGCAGAUAUCAGGAGGAACACCAAUAGCGAAGGCAGCUCGCUGGGACGGUACUGACGCUAAGGCGCGAAAGCGUGGGGAGCGAACAGG
rnacentral:rRNA from 1 species